UUCUGAUCCAGCCCUAAGGAACUAGGGCUGGGGUGGCAUACCAUUUUGGUUUGUUUGAAACAUAUGACAGAAGAUUCACCCCUAACUAGUUUUCCAUUUCCCCAACUACUGCAACUGUAAAGUAUAAUUUUUUGAAUGUGUUUAUGUAACUUUACUUCCCAUUGCACAAUAGAUGCAAUACAGGUUAUUGGGUUAGCUUCCAUUGAGGGAGAGUGCUUGUGGGUGAUGUGCUUGAUAUGCAUUAUUUGCCUGCUGUUUUUUAGUCAAUCAAGUUUUUCUAAUCUUAAUGGUUUCCUGCAAUUUUACUCCAAGAUCUAGUUCAGGAAGCUCUUGCCUUCUCUUCUUCUUUAUAAGUAAUCAAUUUUAUUUAUGGAUGGGUAAGUUGGGCACCCAAUGGGUCUUGAACCCAUGGCCUCACCUUCAACCUUGUUCUUACAACAGGAGGAGUUGUUCAAUAUGAGGCUCGCUGAAUUGGGGGAGGCAAGGACAUGCCAUUGCAUAUAUAUGUAGUUACUGUCUUCCCGCAACAUGCUAAUCUGGUGGAUGGUUUACUUUUCAAGAAACGGAUUGAUUUAAGCUUUAGCACUAUGCGAUCAAUAAAAAACAACUGUGCUGUCUAUGCAAGUGAUCGCAUUAAAGAAGAACACCAAAUAUAUUUUGGUCAUAUUUGGAUUUGUUGUUUGAAGCAUCUUUUUGUGUAA